UACGUAGGGUGCAAGCGUUGUCCGGAAUUAUUGGGCGUAAAGAGCUCGUAGGCGGUCUGUUGCGUCGGCUGUGAAAACCCGGGGCUCAACCCCGGGCCUGCAGCCGAUACGGGCAGACUAGAGUUCGGCAGGGGAGACUGGAAUUCCUGGUGUAGCGGUGAAAUGCGUAGAUAUCGGGAGGAACACCGGUGGCGAAGGCGGCCUUCUGGACGGAUACUGACGCUGAGACGCGAAAGCGUGGGGAGCAAACAGG
rnacentral:rRNA from 1 species